rnacentral:rRNA from 1 species
UACGGAGGGUGCAAGCGUUAUCCGGAUUUACUGGGUUUAAAGGGUGUGUAGGCGGGCUUUUAAGUCAGUGGUGAAAUCUCCGGGCUUAACCCGGAAACUGCCAUUGAUACUAUUAGUCUUGAAUUUUGUUGAGGUAGGCGGAAUAAGUCAUGUAGCGGUGAAAUGCAUAGAUAUGACUUAGAACACCAAUUGCGAAGGCAGCUUGCUAAACAAAUAUUGACGCUGAGGCACGAAAGCGUGGGGAUCAAACAGG